AAUCCACUCUGCACUGAACAAACUGAUUGAUUGUGAUUGUUAUCCGGAGGCUGCUUCAUGACUAAGAAUAAUCCACUCCCCUUGAGCAGCCCCUUCUAGAGUCCAUUUGAUGGCUGGGGCACCUCUCCGGGCCGUGAGAGGUAGUUGAUGGGCACCAAUCCAGACACAUAUCCAUCAAUUGACGCCAGAGCCCAGCCCGUGUUCAUCAACGAAUGCAGAUUCUGCACAUCUUUGGGCGCCACACGAAUCACCUGUCCAGUUUGGAUAGACAAUUCCUGCGGACUGGUCGCCUCAAAGUCAUACAGAACCCGUGUGGGAAUGUAGUUGGUCCAGUUCUGAGGAUUUUUGCCUGCAAAUGCACCAAAAUAAUUCCUCAAUCUUUCAAAAUGAAAAUUUCACCUCUUUUUGGCCACCUUUGACACCACUUUCCGCCACUUCAAAAAAAAAAAAUUAUAAUUAAAAACAAGAACGGGGAAAUGAUGAGUAUUUCCCUCAAAUAUUCGAUGUUUAUAAAAAUUGGUGCAAUAAUAAAUUAUUUAUUUUAUUUAGUUCAAGA